CAAAUUCCCUGGAGCUCCAAAAGGGAUCACAGAAAUUCUUCCAAUAUUACAGAAAAAUCCUGUGGAACAGUUACUUUUUGCUUAUAAACUUCUUGACAGAGCAAUCGGUGGAAUAAAUUUGAAUUGCAUGUUAACCUCUUUGCCAAAUGGAUCAUCAGUAAUUGACCACUGCUAUGCCAAGCGUACCCACCAUAUAGAUGGAGAUACUUACAAACCACUUGCCUCAAAUAGUUUCAUGAUGGAUUUGCAUCUUGAACUAAUUCAAGCUCAGCAUCGAAUAGCUGUUGUGCUUCUGGACAAAUUGCAAGGUAGUAGUCACUAAAGCAAGUAACCAUUCUGAAUCAAUUUUAAGCCAGACUCCAGUACAGAAUCAAUUUAAUUUGAAAACUGUGUUCUUGUUGACUUAAGUUUUCAGAUAAAUUUCAUUUUUUUCUACUUCCCUAAUUAAUAUCAAUAAAAACAUAAUUAAAUCUU
rnacentral:lncRNA from 1 species